GAUGAACGCUAGCGGCAGGCCUAACACAUGCAAGUCGAACGGGUGCCUUCGGGCACUAGUGGCGGACGGGUGAGUAACGCGUGGGAACGUACCCUUUGGUUCGGAAUAGCCCUGGGAAACUGGGAGUAAUACCGGAUACGGUCGAGAGACGAAAGAUUUAUCGCCGAAGGAUCGGCCCGCGUUGGAUUAGGUAGUUGGUG
rnacentral:rRNA from 1 species